rnacentral:hammerhead_ribozyme from 1 species
AUCGAACUGACGAGUCCCAAAUCGGACGAAACGCGCGUCCUUGAU